UGAGGAAUAUUGGGCAAUGCCCGCAAGGGUGACCCGGCAACGCCGCGUGGAGGAUGAAUGUCGUAAGAUUGUAAACUCCUGUUAGAGGGGAAGAAUAGUACCGGUUGGACCGGUAUAUGACUGUACCCUCAGAGAAAGCCCCGGCUAACUACGUGCCAGCAGCCGCGGUAAUACGUAGGGGGCAAGCGUUGUCCGGAUUUACUGGGUGUAAAGGGCGCGCAGGCGGGAUAAAAAGUCAGUGGUGAAAUCCUACAGCUUAACUGUAGAACUGCCUUUGAUACUUUUAUUCUUGAGUUCGGGAGAGAGAGACGGAAUUCCAGGUGUAGUGGUGAAAUACGUAGAUAUCUGGAAGAACACCAGUUGCGAAGGCGAUCUCUUGGUCCGACACUGACGCUGAGGCACGAAAGCGUGGGGAGCAAACA
rnacentral:rRNA from 1 species